AAGAAGACAGCCAACUGCAAAUCAGGAGGGGGACCCUUGGCAGACACUGAAUCUGCCAGCACCUUGAUCUUGGACUUCCCAGCCUCCAAAGAAUUGUUUUCCCAUUCAGGAGAUAGGUAAGAGUGUCCCUCCCUGACCUCCUGCUUAGAAAUUCCGAGAAGAAGACUACUGUCAGUGAUCUCUGAUUUAAUUCAUUGGAACAUUUAAACUCAGGAGAAUUAGGCUGAAAGACACAGAACAGGAUAUAUCAAAUCAGAAAAGGCAUGUGGCCACUGCUGCUCUCUUGGUUCCUGAGGAAGAGAAAAAGCAUCAAAAUGUGUGGGAGCGAGUCGUAAGGCAAAGACAGAAAUUCUAAACCAAUCUGUGCCCAGGAGCCCCUGCCCAGGUCACAGGAAGAGUGUGAGGUUGCCGUGGGCAUUCCUGGAAAAACUGGAGACCUCCGGCGCCCCUUCAGACUCUAAAAUACAUGGAAGAAACUCAUUUUGCCUGCCUAUUUCCUUGCUGAAGCUCUAUAAAUCUGUAUUGCAUUUGGAAGGCAGUAGUUAAAAUAUGGUAAGAUAAGCGUUCAAACCAAAAGAUUCAGAAGAAGGAUCUCUGUGAUGAUCAGCUUGAAAUGACAUCCUUGUUUGUUUCUGAAAACAAGGAAGCUGUUCCAGCAGUUAAUUCUAGAGUGCCUCACACUCUUGCUGGGAAACCUGUACUUUGCAAAAUGUAGGAUUAGAAUAUGAUCUAACAAGCAGCAGGAGCAGCAGCAGCACCUUUUUACUUCUGACCAAAUCCACAAAGAAAACGGAAAAAUACUUGUAAUCAAGGACCUCAACUCAACAGUCACCUAACUUGUUAAAUUAAAACAUGUGGCAACCACCUGCCAAGCAUCUUGAAGCAACAAUACCUUCCUCUUUUCCUACCUGACCUAUAAUCUCUUUGGAGCACAUUUGCUUUUCCCAGUUUUUCACACUUAAACAAUGCCGUCCACACCACGUAUAAAGAUGACUAAGCAACUUUGUAUUAAGUAACCAAAGCGAAUCCUGCCAAUUUUAGAAUAAUUAAGUUUCUGCAAUCUAAUAUAAACAGUUCCAAGAACUACACGCGGCCUACCAAAAGUAUAUAUUACAAGUAGUCAACACUGAGGCCAGCUGGCAGACAGAUCAACCUAUUAAAGUAGAAUUGUUCAGAAUUCAGAGUAUUAUUUUGCUUUUCUCCCAUUAUUUUUUCUGCAUCCAACUUUGUUUCUUUGGGAAUGUUUUCAAGUAUACAAAGCAAGAAAGUAUUGUGGAAUUGCACCUCUUGUAAACGAACGAGCGUUUCUCUUGAGAUUCUUUAAACUCACAAGUCAGUCCCAUUUCAACACCGUCUACAUAGGCAGCCAAAGUAAAGCAGAGCAAGUGAAUCCACUUUGUUCUCACUCAAGCUAAAGUGUUGGUAUUUUGUCUGACCAUCAGAAAGAUCAACAGUGACCACUAGGCAAGUGAAUAAGCACAUUAAGUUAUAUGCCCAUCGGACACCUGAAAUAUCUUUCUGACCAUAGAUCCUUGUACUGCCUCUAGCAGAUAGCUUGCUGGAUCAAAAUUUAUUACUAAUAACG